GCAGUCUGGCACAGCCCUGAUUUAUAAGAAGCACUGAGCCUCAGCACAGGUUUGGCACAAGACCUCCUGAGCAGGACAUGUAACCCACAAACAUAGCCAGUGUCCAAGGCUGCUCACAACUUUGCUUCUUGUGAGAAAUAAAGAAGACGAUGAUCUUAAAAAGGAUAAUUAUACUUCAAGAAACUCCCCACGUUUAAGGAAUAUACCUGUUGUGUUUCCCUGAGGCCUCACUCUGCCAUUCUGAGGAGUAAAAUGAUAAAUCCAGAGGGUUUACCACUGAUCAUGGGGAAACAAAGCAGGGACUGGCCCCACUGUGACCCUGAUGGAUAAAAUGAGAGAAGAUGGAUGGACGGACAGGCGUAUGGAUGCUUUUAGUAAUUUCAUUAAAAAUCAUUCUUACUUC